GGGCAAUUGGUCUAGGGGUAUGAUUUUCGCUUCGCAUGGAGUAUUCCACAGCGUCCUGUGAAAGGUCACCGGUUCAAAUCCGGUAUUGUCCA
rnacentral:tRNA from 1 species